rnacentral:rRNA from 1 species
UACGUAGGUGACCAGCGUUGUCCGGAUUUACUGGGCGUAAAGAGCGCGCAGGCGGUCGUUCAAGUCGAGUGUGAAAGCCCCCGGCUCAACUGGGGAGGGUCAUUCGAUACUGAUCGACUCGAAGGCAGGAGAGGGAAGCGGAAUUCCCGGUGUAGUGGUGAAAUGCGUAGAUAUCGGGAGGAACACCAGUGGCGAAGGCGGCUUCCUGGCCUGUUCUUGACGCUGAGGCGCGAAAGCUAGGGGAGCAAACAGG